AUUGAACGCUGGCGGAAUGCUUUACACAUGCAAGUCGAACGGCAGCACGGGGGCAGCCCUGGUGGCGAGUGGCGAACGGGUGAGUAAUACAUCGGAACGUGCCCGGUCGUGGGGGAUAACGUAGCGAAAGUUACGCUAAUACCGCAUACGAUCUGAGGAUGAAAGCGGGGGACCUUCGGGCCUCGCGCGAUCGGAGCGGCCGAUGUCAGAUUAGGUAGUUGGUGGGGUAAAGGCCCACCAAGCCGACGAUCUGUAGCUGGUCUGAGAGGACGACCAGCCACACUGGGACUGAGACACGGCCCAGACUCCUACGGGAGGCAGCAGUGGGGAAUUUUGGACAAUGGGCGCAAGCCUGAUCCAGCCAUUCCGCGUGCAGGACGAAGGCCUUCGGGUUGUAAACUGCUUUUGUACGGAACGAAAAGGCUCUGGCUAAUACCUGGGGCUCAUGACGGUACCGUAAGAAUAAGCACCGGCUAACUACGUG
rnacentral:rRNA from 1 species